UACGUAGGGUGCGAGCGUUGUCCGGAAUUAUUGGGCGUAAAGGGCUCGUAGGCGGCCAACUAAGUCGGAUGUGAAAUCCCCAGGCUUAACCUGGGAACUGCAUCCGAUACUGGAUGGCUUGAAUCCGGGAGAGGGAUGCGGAAUUCCAGGUGUAGCGGUGAAAUGCGUAGAUAUCAGGAGGAACACCGGUGGCGAAGGCGGGUCGUCUGGGCCGUAACUGACGCUGAGGAGCGAAGCAUGGGAGCG
rnacentral:rRNA from 1 species